rnacentral:rRNA from 1 species
UACGUAGGGACCAAGCGUUGUUCGGAUUUACUGGGCGUAAAGGGCGCGUAGGCGGCGUGGUAAGUCAGCUGUGAAAUCUCCGAGCUUAACUCGGAACGGUCAGCUGAUACCGCUGUGCUAGAGUACAGAAGGGGCAAUCGGAAUUCUUGGUGUAGCGGUGAAAUGCGUAGAUAUCAAGAGGAACACCUGAGGCGAAGGCGGGUUGCUAGGCUGAUACUGACGCUGAGGCGCGAAAGCUAGGGUAGCAAACGGG